rnacentral:rRNA from 1 species
UACGUAGGGUGCAAGCGUUGUCCGGAAUUAUUGGGCGUAAAGAGCUCGUAGGCGGUCAGUCGCGUCUGCUGUGAAAACUCGGGGCUUAACUCCGGGCCUGCAGUGGGUACGGGCUGACUAGAGUGCGGUAGGGGAGACUGGAAUUCCUGGUGUAGCGGUGAAAUGCGCAGAUAUCAGGAGGAACACCGGUGGCGAAGGCAGGUCUCUGGGCAUUAACUGACGCUGAGGAGCGAAAGCAUGGGGAGCGAACAGG